AGGCUUCUGGCUCAGCUUGUUUCCUGUGGAAGUCGGAAGUUGUCCUGUGUGUUGUGCCUUGGGCUCCAACGUGGGGAGAAAGCGGGUUAGCUUGGCAACUGCACCAUGAGCAAUGCCUUCUCUAUCCCACGCUAGCACCACACUAUCAAGUCGAUAAUUGAAUACCUACUCCUUCCUCUGCUGUCCAGUGCUGGGAAGACAGUUCUGCAGCACCUUCUAGGCUGGGCCUUGACUGAAUACAGUGACCUAUGAUGAUUUACAUAUCGACUUCACUUGGAAAGAGUGGGCUUUGCUGAAUCCUUCCCAGAAAAAUCUCUACAAAGAUGUGAUGCUGGAGACCUACAGGAAUCUUGCUACUAUAGGGCUGAGCAGCUGGAAACAAACAAGAGGUAUCCCACAACAACUUCCCGUUGCCUGCAAGAUGUAAGACUCUCAGUUACUUAUCCAGUACCAUGUGUGCCUAUAUAUUGCCAUGUCACCACCAUGAUGACAACGGACUGAAUCUCUGAACUUGCCUAUGCAAGUAAGAAGAAAGGACCAGAUCCAUUUAAACUGGAGGGAUAUAAAGUGGCAAGAUUCCCAGUGGGUGCUGCGAACUGAAUCCAGAUCCUGUACGAGAGAAGUAUGCUGCUAUUGCCCACUGGAUCAUCUCUCCCGCUUCUAUGUUGUUUUAUAUUCUCUCUCUCACUUGUGGGGUUUUCCAGCUUGUUUUCAGUCAGUACUUUCAAUGUGCCAGCUCACUGACCUUUAGUGUCCAAAGCUUUUCUUCUAUAAAAUCUGUUGGUAGUCUUUAUUAUGGAUCCUUGUAUGAUAAAAGGUCAUUUUUCUUUUCUGUUUCCAAUAUUAUUUUUUGGUGAUAAUUUGAUGAUAAUUUUUGUUAGGUUUUUUUUUUUUUUUUUUUUUUUUUCGAGACAGAGUUUCUCUGUGGCUUUGGAGCCUGUCCUAAUUUUUGUUAGUUUUGAUUUUUGAGACAAAAUCUCAUAAUGUAGCCAAGGCUUAAGAUAGAUUAAAAAGUCAGGGGAGUGCUUGGAAAAUGAAAUAAGUGGGGCAAAACCAAUAUAAAAAUAAAGAUAGCCAACUUCACAAAGUCGCCUUCUGUCCUCCAUGUGAAUGUGAACGACACCCUCUACCAUAUACAUAUGCAAUAAUAAUUUUUUUAAAUAAGCAAAUUAAGUCUGGUUGUGAAAACUCCAGCUAAGGACUAUGAAUUCUAAAGCAAUAAAGGUUGACUGCAGUCUAUAGUCAUCUUAUAUAGAGAUUUCAAUUGAGAACGUCAGCACUGAUGAGCCUCACUAACCAGAUGACCUUAAUUUGACUUUUCCCAGUUGUAAACCUAAAAAAAUCAAAGAGAUAGUAAGUUUUCUUUGUUGACAGUCAAAAGUUAUGUCUUAACCCCUUGUAACCUGGUAUAUUAAGAACAGCUUGAACCCUUGCCAUCUAUGGACUUAUCCAAUGAUCUCAUUUAACAAAUACAAAACAGGAUAAGUGGGGGUAAAACUUCACUGAACAAUUCUCUUAAAAAGCCACCCAAAUCAUAAACAUGGCUAUUAUUAAGACACUUGACUUACUUUAUACCUAGUUGUCCUGAGAAUCUUUUGUGGCAUGGUUCAGAAUCCCAGCAUCAGUGACAAAAAUUCCCUGAAAGAACUGGGGCUGAGACAGGCAGCAGCACAGAGCCUUAUCUUCUCUUCCAAAUCCUGCUGCCACUGACAGGAUAGCCUGGACCUCCCAAUACUCCUGCUCCGGCCUCUCAGGUGGUAACAUUGCAUGUCUGUCAGCCUUGGGAAGCAUUUUAAAUUACUGAUAGAUAUUACCUCACUGUCCUGAGAAACUAUUCUCAGGAAUAGAAUCUUCUACUCUCACCAGCAAUGUGAGAAUGUCUUAACCCUUACCAACAGUAAAAAUUAUCAUUCUCCCCCACACCUCUGUCAUUCAGUACCAAGGAUUGAGCCCAGAACUUGUCAUAUGCUAGGCAAGUGAUCUAAUACCCAAAUACAUCUUCAUUCAAAGAAGACUAUGUGGCUCUCCUUUGUAAUAAAAUCAGUGAAAGGAGAUAGUCAACAGAGUUCUAAAGGCUUGAAAAUAACCACAGAUCAAAGAUUUCAAAGUCAGCUUUUGUUUGUGAAUUACUCAUCCGCACUAUUUAAGGACUCUGAAAACAUUAGAUGUGUUAUGUUCAUAAGAGGAUACUGAUAUUUUAGAUUUCCUUACUAUCUGCAUUCUUUAUCAUGUAUAUGACUGUCCAGUUGCAUGGAAAGGACCAGAGCUUCCAUCAUAGAAAAAUAUGCCCACUAUAUAGAGUAAUCUCACUAGUAAUUCUAGCAAAUAAGUAACUUUUCUAAAUUUAUUGAAGUUUUAAUAGGCUUUUGAAUGUGGCUCAAACACAGACUUUUGUAAGUGCUAGGCAUAGGCUCUAUUGUGGCCCUUUCUCCCUAGCUGAAAAUAGAAAAUAUUUUUGGUUACUUUUAAAUUCCUAUCAACAUCAUUCAGAAAAUCCAAAUAACAGAAGUUUGUUUAGUUAUUAAUCAUACAAGCUGUAUCGUGUCAGUCCUGAAUUUUAAAGUGCUUUUCAAUGAUUUUGUGGAUAUUUUUAUAAUUGUUCUAGAGAGAAAAAAUACAAAUUAUCUUAAAAAUUAAA